rnacentral:rRNA from 1 species
AUGUUUAGGCCCCUACCCGAACUCUUACCGAACUCGAGCGUCCUUGCCUAGGCUGCCAUACAUACUAGUUAAUCCUGGGAACCAUGGCUAUUUUAUUAGUAAUAUGCAUUAAUUAAAAGUGUGC